GAUGAACGCUGGCGGCGUGCCUAAUACAUGCAAGUCGAGCGAACGGACGAGAAGUUUCCUGCUCUGAUGUUAGCGGCGGGCGUGUGAGUAACACGUGGAUUACGUACCUAUAAUACUGGGAUGACUUCGGGAAACCGUAUCUAAUACGGUAUGAUAUUUUUAACCGCGUGGUUCUAGAGUGUAAGACGGUGUUGCUUUCACUUACAGAUUGUUCCCCUCUUCAUUAGCUAGUUGCUAAGGUAACGGCUUACCAAGGCAACGAUGCAUAGCCGAUCUGAGAGGGUGAUCGGCCACACUAGAACUGAGACGCGGACCAGAGUACUACGGGAGGCACCAGUAGGGAAUCUUACGCAAUAGGCGAGAGCCUGACGGAACAGCGGCGCGCGAGAGAUGACGGUCUUGGGAUCGUAAAACUCUGCUACUGGGGAAAAACACCUGUGUAAGUAACCGUGCACAUAUUGACGGUACCUGGUGAGAAAGCAACGGCUAACUACGUG
rnacentral:rRNA from 1 species